rnacentral:rRNA from 1 species
GGUUGAUCCUGCCAGUAGUCAUAUGCUUGUCUCAAAGAUUAAGCCAUGCAUGUCUAAGUAUAGCAUUUAUACUGUGAAACUGCGAAUGGCUCAUUAAAUCAGUUAUAAUUUAUUUGAUAAUACCUUACUACUUGGAUAACCGUGGUAAUUCUAGAGCUAAUACAUGCUAAAAACCCCGACUUCUGGAAGGGGUGUAUUUAUUAGAUAAAAAACCAAUCGGGGAAACCCGUCUACUGGUGAAUCAUGAUAACUAUUCGAAUCGCAUGACUUUAUGUCGGCGAUGGUUCAUUCAA